GACGAACGCUGGCGGCGUGCCUAAUACAUGCAAGUCGAGCGCAGGAAACUGACGGAACUCUUCGGAGGGAAGGCAGUGGAAUGAGCGGCGGACGGGUGAGUAACACGUAAGGAACCUGCCUCAAGGAUUGGGAUAACUCCGAGAAAUCGGAGCUAAUACCGGAUAGUUCAUCGGACCGCAUGGUCCGUUGAUGAAAGGCGCUUCGGCGUCACCUUGAGAUGGCCUUGCGGUGCAUUAGCUAGUUGGUGGGGUAACGGCCCACCAAGGCGACGAUGCAUAGCCGACCUGAGAGGGUGAUCGGCCACACUGGGACUGAGACACGGCCCAGACUCCUACGGGAGGCAGCAGUAGGGAAUCUUCCACAAUGGACGAAAGUCUGAUGGAGCAACGCCGCGUGAGUGAUGAAGGUUUUCGGAUCGUAAAACUCUGUUGUAAGGGAAGAACACGUACGAGAGGAAAUGCUCGUACCUUGACGGUACCUUACGAGAAAGCCACGGCUAACUACGUGCCAGCAGCCGCGGUAAAAC
rnacentral:rRNA from 1 species